AUUCCUGUGGCGCAAUGGAUUGCGCGUUAGAACCACUAAUCUAAAGGUCGUGGUUUUGAAUCCCACCUGGAAUG
rnacentral:tRNA from 1 species